GAACUGGGCGCAGCCUGAUGCAGCACGCCGCGUGAGGGACGACGGCCUUCGGGUUGUAAACCUCUUUUAGCAGGGAAGAAGCGAAAGUGACGGUACCUGCAGAAAAAGCACCGGCUAACUACGUGCCAGCAGCCGCGGUAAUACGUAGGGUGCAAGCGUUGUCCGGAAUUAUUGGGCGUAAAGAGCUCGUAGGCGGUUUGUCGCGUCUGCUGUGAAAAUCCGAGGCUCAACCUCGGACCUGCAGUGGGUACGGGCAAACUAGAGUGCGGUAGGGGAGAUUGGAAUUCCUGGUGUAGCGGUGGAAUGCGCAGAUAUCAGGAGGAACACCAAUGGCGAAGGCAGAUCUCUGGGCCGUAACUGACGCUGAGGAGCGAAAGCGUGGGGAGCGAACAGGAUUAGAUACCCUGGUAGUCCACGCCGUAAACGGUGGGAACUAGAUGUGGGGUCCGUUCCACGGAUUCCGUGUCGCAGCUAACGCAUUAAGUUCC
rnacentral:rRNA from 1 species